UGAACGCUAGCUACAGGCUUAACACAUGCAAGUCGAGGGGCAGCAUGAACUUAGCUUGCUAAGUUUGAUGGCGACCGGCGCACGGGUGAGUAACACGUAUCCAACCUGCCGAUGACUCGGGGAUAGCCUUUCGAAAGAAAGAUUAAUACUCGAUGGCAUAGUUCUUCCGCAUGGUAGAGCUAUUAAAGAAUUUCGGUCAUCGAUGGGGAUGCGUUCCAUUAGGUUGUUGGCGGGGUAACGGCCCACCAAGCCUUCGAUGGAUAGGGGUUCUGAGAGGAAGGUCCCCCACAUUGGAACUGAGACACGGUCCAAACUCCUACGGGAGGCAGCAGUGAGGAAUAUUGGUCAAUGGACGAGAGUCUGAACCAGCCAAGUAGCGUGAAGGAUGACUGCCCUAUGGGUUGUAAACUUCUUUUAUACGGGAAUAAAGUGAGGCACGUGUGCCUUUUUGUAUGUACCGUAUGAAUAAGGAUCGGCUAACUCCGUGCCAGCAGCCGCGGUAAUACGGAGGAUCCGAGCGUUAUCCGGAUUUAUUGGGUUUAAAGGGAGCGUAGGCGGACGCUUAAGUCAGUUGUGAAAGUUUGCGGCUCAACCGUAAAAUUGCAGUUGAUACUGGGUGUCUUGAGUACAGUAGAGGCAGGCGGAAUUCGUGGUGUAGCGGUGAAAUGCUUAGAUAUCACGAAGAACUCCGAUUGCGAAGGCAGCCUGCUGGACUGUAACUGACGCUGAUGCUCGAAAGUGUGGGUAUCAAACAGGAUUAGAUACCCUGGUAGUCCACACAGUAAACGAUGAAUACUCGCUGUUUGCGAUAUACAGUAAGCGGCCCAGCGAAAGCGUUAAGUAUUCCACCUGGGGAGUACGCCGGCAACGGUGAAACU
rnacentral:rRNA from 1 species